UACGGGGGGGACAAACGUUGUUCGGAUUUAUUGGGCGUAAAGAGCUCGUAGGCGGUUUGUCGCGUCUGCUGUGAAAUCCCGAGGCUCAACCUCGGGCCUGCAGUGGGUACGGGCAGACUAGAGUGCGGUAGGGGAGACUGGAAUUCCUGGUGUAGCGGUGGAAUGCGCAGAUAUCAGGAGGAACACCGAUGGCGAAGGCAGGUCUCUGGGCCGCAACUGACGCUGAGGAGCGAAAGCAUGGGGAGCGAACAGG
rnacentral:misc_RNA from 1 species